UGCGAACACUCUGGAGAGACCGGUUGAAUCCGGCGCCGAAGGGGCACGAAGCGCAGCCAUCGCGCUUCCAAACUCUCAGGCAAAAGGACAGAGGGGCGCCC
rfam:Rhodanobacter sp. Soil772 contig_1, whole genome shotgun sequence.